ensembl:lncRNA LNCATV lncRNA negative regulator of antiviral signaling
GAAACAGCCCGGGGCUUUCAGCACAGAUGAGAAGUCUAAAAAUUUCCCUUUUCAUUUCCUCUCUUGUGUGACUUUGUCAUUUUUAAAAAAACUGGUCACAGAAAAGGGAAUUUUGCCCAUGCUUUUAAGGAGUUUAUCUCGACUGAGUAGCUUCCCCGCCACUCCUCUAAAAUCCCUCCUCAAAAACCCCAAGUUAAAAAAAAAAAAGAUCUAUUCUUGUAGAUUUUUUUUGUGUGGGUCUAUGUUUCAUUCAUCUGCUUUCAGGCUGGAUUUAUAACAAGCAGAACUUUUAAAACGGUAUGAUUUUAAAAUAAAAUUAAAAAAAAAACACGCUGAGAUCUUUCCAUAGCUUUGGCUUCUGGGAGUUGAAAGCGCAGGAGGAAAAUAGAGCAAAAAGGUAGAACUUACUUCCACACCCAAGUUUCUCCUGAAAGCACUGUGCCUGUUUUGUUUGCUACACAUCUUGGCUUCAGGAAAAAGAGGACCUUAGAACUGAAGGAGCAAGAUUCCAACAUCACACUGUUUUUGUUAGCUGUGUGUGUGUGUUUCCUGUGUAUCCAAAAGACAGAGGAGAUGAAAAAGCAAAAGAAAAGAAACGAGGAAUCAGAUUGGAAAGAAGGUUUCUCCAGGACGUCACCUGUAUGAGGUACACAGUGUGAUGACACACUCUGUGCUUUUCCUACUUGUGUCCACGUGAGUGUCUGGAGCUGCCCUUCAAGGAGAGCAAUAGAUGAAUGAUUCUGCCUUCCCGCUGAGAGGGAUGUGGGUCCUGCGGAUGGUCGGGGUGAAGCUUCCUCUCCUUUCUGCUGACAGCACUUCCUCAUUAAAUGCAGAGAUCUGCAAAAAGGGAAAAUAAAAACACAAGAAGAAAAAUG